GCGCUAUCAGAUGAGCCUAGGUCGGAUUAGCUAGUUGGUGAGGUAAUGGCUCACCAAGGCUACGAUCCGUAACUGGUCUGAGAGGAUGAUCAGUCACACUGGAACUGAGACACGGUCCAGACUCCUACGGGAGGCAGCAGUGGGGAAUAUUGGACAAUGGGCGAAAGCCUGAUCCAGCCAGGCCGCGUGUGUGAAGAAGGUCUUCGGAUGUAAAGUAAUGAAGUUGGGAGGAAGGGCAUUAACCUAAUACGUUAG
rnacentral:rRNA from 1 species